AGUAAUCAAGGAUCUUUGAGUAAAAUCAACCGUAAACUAGCUCAUAUUUGCGAGUUAUUUAGCUAAUGCUAUUGUAUUGCUGUUUGACAGUAGUGAAAUCAACUGUAAACUAGCUCAUAUUUGCGAGUUAUUUAGCUAAUGCUAUUUUAUUGCUGUUUGACAGUAGUGAAAUCAACCGUAAACUAGCUCGUAUGCUAGUGGAAACAUCAUAUAAGUAUAACUGCAGCAGAAGUUUAUUCUUCAUGCCGCUCUCAGAGUAGCACUUUCAUUGUCAAAAGCAAUCCUCAGCCAAAAGCUAUAUUUUCUGAAAAACUACUCUUGGAUAUCACCUUGUCGUGGGAAACAGCAGAUCACCACCCUCCAGCUAACAACAACUCUCCACCGAUCAAGGACUGAAUUGGGGUGAUUACCAUGGUUGGCUGUGAGCCAUUCUUUACAGCUGGCCAAAAUAAUUAAGUGAUCAACGAACAACGAGGAUUGGUGCAGCGACUGCAUAAAAAGAAGCACCGUGGAUCUGCACGGGACGAAGGACGCACCGAUCACACUGAUUUGAACGCCUGCCGCCGAGGCCGCGACCCCCUUAACAUCCGUCAGCAGAAGGAAUUGGAAAGACCCCAAACAACGCUCUCAAUCCCACACGUUACAGGAAAGUAGCCCUGCCCUUGCCUGUGUAUGCGUGUGUGUUUGUGUUGACUGUCUACUGGCGUUAAGCGCGUCUCCCCUUUAUUUCCCAGUCCGGAACGAGCUCGACCUUCCUCCCGUGACGACGGCCAGCCUGAAACUUCUCAACGCACCCGAUUUUGCAUCGUUAAGUCAAGGGGGCAGAGACACCACUAGAGGAAUCCCCGACGGAGGUGUCUGGCCACGCAUUUAAAGAGACAGCGCAUUGGUGGACGUAUCACUCCAGACUGUUUUCAAAGACGGCUCUUCAAUCCUGGGGGUUGGGCCACAAGUGGCACUGGACAGCCUCAACGGAAAAGACCACCUUCAGCAUUCACUCCACAUUACUCCCGGCAGAGACAGGUGUCUUGUCCUACUAACACCCCACUCGUGGCCUGCACCUUGAUGUGGUUGACAGGCCUCAAUGGACAGUGAGACAGUGAUCUACAUUUGGACUGGCACCAACCAGACAUGGACACUGAAGCUUGAUUUCUCAUGAAUAUCUUUACAAGAUGCAACACACAUUGUGGAACACUUUAGACACUAAUAAACAUGUCCACUGUUUUCUCUGGAA